rnacentral:lncRNA from 1 species
UGGGUAAGGCCUUCAGAAGAUCAAUUUUGGUGCCCGGAGAAGGCCCCAGAGCACUGGGGCUGGAUGCCCUGGGCCUCUGGGAGGAACUCCUGCAGCCCCAGGACUGGGCAGUAUUUAUGACAUAUUGGGGCAACCGAACAGAAGAGCCUCAGCCCUCCAGACAGAACGUGGUGGGAUGAGGUGGGAAGGAGGAGGUGAGGGCCCCUCCUUCUGCUCCCCCAAGACCAGCAGCCCUCCAGGACGAGAAGGAGAGCAGAGGGCAGUGUCACCCAUGCCACAACCCUCAGCAGAGGAGCAGGAAGAGCAACACCAACUGGCACCCAGGCCCGCGAGGUGUGUCCGGGAUGGAGCAGAUAUUCUGAAUCACCUUCAGUUCGUGUCGACCAGGGGCUGGGAGACUAGGCACCAUCCAGAAGAGAGGGUGCUCUUGGGCAUUCAGAGACCCGGAUUCAGGCCACUUUUAAGUAUCCAAUGCUGUGUGAAAACUUGGGAUUCCCAGCUGACCUGGGUUUGGGUUUGAACUUAGGAUCAACCUUAGUAUCUGACCUGAAGCAUAACUUAGGGUCAGUUUAGCCAGGGCUGUGCGUGAGCAGAACGGGAAAGUACUGACCCACACAGAGGCCUCUCCCCAAACCUUUCUGGUGCGUCCCCUGGGGGUCUGGAGGGGAGCAAGGAGGUGAAGCCCGAGCUGUUCCCAGAGGGGACUUGGAGGAUGGGGACCCUAACAGAGGUGACCUGGGACCCACCUGCCUGCCUGGCCCUCUCCCACCCCACCACCAUCCAAAACCAAAAUAAAGUCAAACUGAAAAUUCAAUGAAACAAGUUAGUGACCUAACCAUAAAGAGAAGAAAUCAUUUCGCUGACUUGGAAAUGCCAUCAUUUUACUGCAAUAUAUUCCGAGGACAAAACACACAGAGAUUUCAAACACAGUAAGUGGUUAUAGCCACUAAUAAUAAUGAUGAUAUUAUUUUGAAAUUCCUACACAUUUGAGCAAACCCUGAGUUAUGCAGAUGAUUUUUUUUAAUUAUGAAAUAAAUGAGCAAUUAUGUUAAUAAAGUUACAGAGGAAGAUUUUUAGUGAAGAGAAGAAAGGUAUAAAUAGAAAAUCGAUAACAGGUAAAAUUUCUAUCAUCUUAAAAUUUGAAUUGGAAAUGUUGCUAUGGGUUCAGAAUUUAUGUUUCUUAUUCUUAUAAUACAGACCUAUUUCCUAGCUGCGAUCACCGUAAAGGCCACAUAGACAGACGGAGUGACGAUCUGGAGCAUUUGGCAAAGCUCACAUGCAAUGGUGGCUUCUGAGGACCAUCUGAUCCUGACAAGAACGGUGCUUCAAACCCAAGGAAGUCUUCAAGAUAAGAGCAAACAGCUCCUUUGGCCAGAAAGCAUAAGGCUGCCAAUGACCACAAAGUUUCAUCAAGGACUCAGCCUGAAAGAGUUGCAUCAAUCAAGAUGACAUGUUCUGGGAGUUCCCGUCGUGGCACCGUGGAAAUGAACCCGACUAGUAUCCUUGAGGACAUGGGUUCCAUCCCUGGCCAAACUCAGGUGGUUAAGAAUCCGUCAGUGCCGUGAGCUGUGGUGUAGGUCAAAGACGUGGCUGGGAUCUGGUGUUGCUGUGGCUGUGGUGUAGGCCGGCAGCUGCGGCUCUGAUUCAACCCCUAGCCUGGGAACCUCCAUAUGCCGUGGGUGCGGCCCUAAAAAAAUAAACAAACCAAAAGGUGAGUUGUUCUGAGCAUAAGAUUAAAAAUAAUGAAAAUAAAUUGCAAUGAAUUAAAACAUAUCAAAUCCAUAAAAUCCCCUGCAUUCCUAAUGUUCUGAGAGGAAAAUCACUGGAAUUGGUCCUUCUCAAAAAUGGCUGAGGUAUCACCUCAUUAUUUUGACAACUGAAAAAUAAAAGGAAAGAAUCCAGCCCUCAUCUUCCAUUUUCCAUGCAAACAUAUUUCAAGUAUCCGUACAGGUCACAGUGGAAAAUUCUUUCUAGGAAGAACUCUAGUUAUUAAAGAAUGAAGCAGAGACAGGACUAGAAAUUCACCCCUCCGUGGUCCCUAAGGAGACAACGGAUCCAGGCAACUGUCCUCAGUGACUGUAAAAACCCUUGAAGGAGAAGCCUGGGCAGGCCGACCACAUUUAAACUCAGGGCGCAGACAUGGUCCCAUGCAGGCAGGUAACAGGCGGCUCUGGUGUUUGGCCAGGGGUGCACGGGAGACAACCCGAGCUCUCCUACUUGCCGGAAACAUGGGAGAAAGUGCUUCCUUCUCACCAGGUCUCCAGAUCUGAUCCCCAAGCACAAGUGGCAGUGCCUGGAAGAUGCCCUCCCAGUGCAGAACAUGGUCCUGUCUCCUCUGCGGAGUCCCCACCCCGCCCAGGAGCCGAUAGGAGGCCAAGAGGUGGGGGCAGGAGAUGGAGAUGGAGCAGAGGCUCAUGUGGGAAAAAACCGUGAGAAACACACCAACCUAGACCACGUAGUAGCCUUUGGGGCCCUCAUUCAAAUCAACCAAAUCCAGAAAGACAUUUUUGAGAAAAUUAGAGAUUUUCACCCACACUGGGUAUACGAUCAUCCUAAGGAAUUAUUUUCAGUUCUGUUGGGUGUAAAAAUGCUAUUAUAGUUUCAUUGUAAGAUAUCACCUGUUAAAGGAACAUACUGCGGUAUUUACAAAUAAGGUGAUGCUACGCCUGGGAUCUGCUUUGAAAUGCUUCUGCGGGAGUUGGGGAAGGGGAAGCGUGCAGGAGAGUUUAUACACGAAUCGAGACUGGCAACGAGAGUUGUCCAAGCAGGUGAUGGGCACCUUCAUUGAAUUCUCCUCUACUUUUGUCAUUGUUUGGAAAUACUAUUAACAUAAAAUCCAAAAAGAAAUCGAUAAUUAUUAUCAUUGAUCAAUAUAAUCAAUUGUCAGAGUUCCCGUCGUGGCACAGUGGUUAACGAAUCCAACUAGGAACCAUGAGGUUGCGGGUUCGAUCCCUGGCCUUUCUCGGUGUGUUAAGAGUCUGGUGUUGCCAUGAACUGUGGUGUAGGUCGCAGACAUGGCUUGGAUCUCGCAUUGCUGUGACUCUGGCGUAGGCUGGCAGCUACAGCUCGGAUUCAACCCCUAGCCUGGGAACCUCCACAUGCCGUGGGUGUGGCCCUAAAAAAGACAAUAAAUAAAUAAAUAAAUAAAAGAAAAGGAAUGACUGGGUCACCUUGCUGUCCAGCAGAAAUUGGCACACCUUGUAAAUCCAAUGUAUUUUAAUUAAUUAAUUUAGUUAGUUAGUUAGUUAUUUCAUCUUUUUAGGGCCAUACCCGCAGCAUGUGGAGGUUCCCAGGCUAGGGAGUGAAUCUGAGCUAUAGCUGCCAGCCUACACCACAGCCACAGCCAAGCGGGAUCCAAGCUGCAUCUGCAAACUACACAGCAGCUUGUGGCAACGUAGGAUCCUUAACCCACUGAGCAAGGCCAGGUAUUGAACCCACAUCUUCAUAGGUACUAGUCAGAUUCUUAACCUGCUGAGCCAUGACAGGAACUCCUCAACUAUACUUUAACUAAAAAAUAAUAAUAAUAGGGAAUUCCUGUUGUAGCUCAGUGGGUUAAGAACUCAACAUAGCGUCCGUGAGGAUGUGGGUUGGAUCCCUGGCCUCGCUCAGUGGGUUAAGCAUCCGGCGUUGCUGUGGCUAUGGUGUAGGCUGGCAGCUGCAGCUCCGAUUCAACCCCUGGGCUGUAAAAAACUAAAAAGAAAAGAAUAAAAUAAAAAUGAAAAAAAUAAAGCCAGUUGCCAAUUCUAAGCUGUGCUGGAAGUUGAAAUUCUAAGUCUCCUAGAAGCUGAAAAAGGCCCAGGGAAUUCUGAAGGGCACCUCCUAUUCUGAGCUCAGCCUGCUUCUGCCUUCAUUCAGGAUGGAGGUUUGGAUGUAACUGUCUCUAAUAACUUCAUUCACUCAGAAACCAUGAACUGAUGCCCCUGGAGGCCACACUGCCUCUGAGAAAACCAGGUUGUCAGCCUCACCUGCGUUGUGGGGACAUUUCAAUAACAUGUCCACGAAUCCUCCAUUGAGUGAGUCCACGCAAACUGCUGUGGGCAGUCUCAGGGCAGACUUUGAUCUUCGAGGGCACAGGAGAGCACGGGGCAGCUGGCGAGCUGCCGGCAUGACCACUCGUCCCCGGGAAGCCAUCUCAAGGGAGGCAAAAGCAAUGACACUGUUCUUGCAAUCAUACUUUACCUCGUGAAGACUGGCUGUCUCGGAGUUUCCGUUGUGGUGCAGAACAAAUCCGACUAGCAUCCAUGAGGUUGCAGGUUUGAUCCCUGGCCUCACUCAGUGGGUUAUGGAUCCAGCGUUGCCGAGAGUGGUGGUGUAGGUCACAGAUGCAGCUCAGAUCUGGAGUUCCUGUGGCUGUGGUGUAGAUCGUUAGCCAAAGCUCUGAUUUGACUUCUAGCCUGGGAACCUCCCUAUGCUGCAGGUGCAGCCAUGAAAAAGCAAAAAACAAAAGACUGGCUGUCUCAUUGAUGCGUCCAUAUAUUCUGUUUAGUAAAUAAUCCCCUUGUCUGCUCAGAUCAGAAGCCACAGCCUCGUAGGCAGGUCGGGGAAGUUGCUUGUUUUUUUGAAAAGCACUUUCUUCCUUCGCAUAGACCUUUGUGGGGUCUUGGACUCACAGGUGCACUAACACCACCGAAAUGGGGUCUCUUUGCUUGGCAUUCCUAAAGGGGGUCCUUCUCCCUCACAGUUGUCCGCUGGAAGGACAGGGCUCAGCCACCUCCAGGGCAGUGGGGGAUUUAAUGGUCAGCUUGGGGGGCACUGAGGGAUGAGGUCAACCUGUAAACUGGUGACUCUGGUAAAGCCAAGUGCCUCCCUCUGUAGGUGGGCCCCAUGCCAUCAGCGGAAGGCCUGAGAAGAACAGAAUCCUGCUUCCCAAGCCCGAUGGGACCCUCCAGCUGAUGGCCUUGGCCCCCCACUCCCCUGGAACCACAGUCUCCCAGGUGUGCAGUCUGCAGGUGUGGGGCUUCCCAGAGUUCAUGGGCAACGAACCAGUCCCUGCUGAAGAAUGACUCCCCCAUGCCUUUAUGCGUGUGGUCUCAGAGAGACGAAGAUUGUGUGUGUUUGUGUGUGUGUACACAUCCUGUUGCUUCUGCUUCUCUGGAAAAUCCUAGUAAGUCAGGGCAAGGCAAAUAGAGCACCUGCCUUGAAAGCACACAUCCCUUACUAAGUCAGCUUGGACCCUCCCGGGACUCGGACACCCAGGGAAACCAUGCACUGUCCUGGUCAUCUCCUGCCUUGGCGGUGUGCGAGGGCCCUCUCUCUGGGACAUGGCAGAGAGGACAUGGCUGAGUGUCACUUCCAGGGGUGGGAUGGGGGGAGGCUCCGGUGGUCCUUCUCCUCCAACCACACACCUCCACCUCCAGCCCGCCCUCUGUUUGUAAGCAUUGUCUUUGGGUGUGUCUUUUAAAAAGGGAAUUGGGGUUUACCUUUUUAAAGAGACUAUUAAUCUCCAAUUUAGGAAACAUGAAUAUGACCUAAAAAAAUGAAAAAUAUUCAUGCACCUGUAUGUUCAUUGCAGCACUAUUCACUAUAGCCAAGACAUGGAAACAACUUCAAUGUCCAUUGACAAAUGAAUGGAUUACAGAGAUGUGGGACAUAUACACAAUGGAAUACUACUCAGCCAAAAAAAAGAACAAAAUAAUGCCAUUUGCAGCAACGUGGAUGGAACUAGAGACUCUCAUAUUAUAAAUAAGUCAGAAAGAGAAAGACAAAUACCAUAUGAUAUCACUUAUAUCUGGAAUCUAAUAUACGGCAUAAAUGAACCUUUCUACGGAAAAGAAACUCAUGGACUCGGAGAACAGGCUUGUGUUUGACAAGGGGGAGAGGAAGGGAGUGGGAUGGACUGUGAAUCUGGGGUUGAUAGAUGCAAACUAUUGCCUUUGGAAUGGAUAAGCAAUGAAAUUCUGCCAUGUAGUACUAGGAACUAUAUCUAGUCACUUGUGAUGGAGCCUGAUGGAGGAGAAUGUGAGAAAAAGAAUGUAUAAAUGUAUGUGUGAAUGGGUCACUCUGCUGUACAGUAGAAACUGACAGAACACUGUAAACCAGCUAUAAUGGAAAGAAUAAAAAUCAUUUAAAAGACAAAAAAAAAUACGACCUGAGGUUCCACCUCCACUCCUUAGACGCUGCUGAGCCUCGAGCGACCUAAACGCUCUGUGCCUCAGUUUCCUCGUCUGCUGAAUAAUGAUCCUUAAGGUUCUUACUUCCGUGGUUCAUGUUGAAGAUGGAGAUGCCAUGCUAGGGUCCUGGGAUGGGAUGCAGAAUGUGACAACACAACCUACCAGGGUAGACUGAGAAGCUCACAGAAGAGAAGAGCCAGGGAGACCAGGAGACCAAAUGUGACUUUAGAUGGGAUCCUGGGACAGAAAAGGGAUAUUAGGGAAGACUAAGGCUAUUCAAAAAGAGUAUGGACUUCAGCCAGUAGGAAUGGAUCCAUUGAGUUCCUCUGUGGUGCCCUGGGUUAAGGAUCCAGCGUAGAUGGAAACUAUAGCAGAGGUCGCAGCUGCGGCUUGGAUCCCGGGAACUUCCAUGUGCUGAGGGUGAGGCUAAAAUGUUAAAAAUAUAGGGGAUCCAUAUCAGUCCUUUAGUUCUCACAGAUAUCCACCACAAUAUAAGAUGUAAUAAUAGGGCAAACUGUGUGGUGUAUGUGGAAACUUUCUGAAUGACAUUCACAAUUUUCCUGUAAAUCUAAAACUGCUCUCUAGAUGUAUUUGAAUUAAAGUCAUGUAUUUUAGCGCUUUACCUGGCGAAUGGCUUCUCCAUAAUACUCUCUUCUAUCACAAUUAUUAUUAUUUUCUCAGGGUAAAACUGAGAGAUAUACUAGGUAAACCAAAAUAAAACAAGUCUUUUGGGGUUAGUAGGUGCAAACUAUGACAUUUAGAAUGGAUAAGCAAUGAGAUCCUGCUGCACAGCACAGG